CGUCUUUAUUGGUAAGAAGUGUGUGGAUAAAAUAUGUUAUUUGCUUUGAAGUCUUGAUACAUCUUGGUCGCAUUCGGAUAAGAACCGAAUUUACUCUUAUGUACCCCCUCUAAAAUUGAUCUUCUUAUCUUUGCCACCGUGACCACACAUAUCUGUAGAAUAUUAUCUUGUCCAACAUUAAAUUUUGGUGUCUUCCUUUCCACAAUUAAUUGCCUCUUUUCUUGUAGAAGUUUAUAAUCAAAAUGAUGGUUCUGGAUAUUCUCAAUUAAUCCAUUAGAAAUAAUGAUCAUUCUAAU
rnacentral:lncRNA from 1 species